AAGCCCAUUUAAGACUGAUUUGUGUUUUAGUGGCCAACACGGGGGUAGACUAGUUCUCUCAUAAACCUGAAGCAAAGGCAAAACCCCUGCUUUGGAUCCUGUCGGGAGAUACAAAU